CAACCUCUGACGUCAAUUUUUGGACCCUACACAGGCAUUCCCCUAUUAGCUGCUAGUCGUAUGCAACAUUGGGCAUUGUUACUUUCAGCACACACAUAUGAAAUCAAAUAUCGGAAAUCCACUCUGCACGGCAAUGCAGAUGGCCUCUCAAGGUUGCCUUUGCCGGUCAAACAUCAAGAUAGUGCCCAAAAGGAAAUCUUCUACUUUGAACAGGUAGAGAAUACACCCAUCACUGCUACUCAGAUAAAGAAGGCAACUCACGUUGACCCAGUAUUGUCCCAAGUUAUGGACCUGGUGAUGCAUGGAAAAUCUCGACAAACCUCUCCGGUCUCACCCGACCUUGUUACCUACAUGUCCAGGAGGACGGAGUUAUCGGUCCAAUCUGGUUGUUUGUUGUGGGGGAGACGUGUCAUUAUUCCACCACCACUGAGAUCACAGAUGUUAGAACAGCUACAUUCCGGUCACUGUGGAAUAGUGCGCAUGAAGGAAAUUGCACGAAGCUAUUUUUGGUGGCCUGGAUUGGACAGUGCUAUUGAAGAGAAGGCAAAAGCUUGUAUGUCAUCUCAGGGUGUGAGGAGUGCAUCCCAGUGGGCACCCCUACAUCCAUGGGACUGGCCUGAAAACCCGUGGCAACGUAUUCACAUUGACUUCGCUGGCCCCCUUGAAGGAAGCAUGUUCUUGGUGGCAGUAGAUGCCCAUUCUAAAUGGCCAGAAGUCUCUAUAAUGCAGUCCACUACUGCAGAGAGUACUAUCCAAAAACUAUGGGGACUCUUUAGUCAUUUCGGUCUACCAGAACAACUUGUGAGCGACAAUGGACAGCAGUUUGUCCCUCAGGAGUUUCAAAAUUUUAUGAAGGCAAAUGGGAUACACCACAUCACGUCAGCACCAUAUCAUCCAUCCACCAAUGGAUUAGCUGAAAGAUUUGUGCAGACAAUGAAACACGCUUUGAAAUCAGCAAGGGGACAACACUCCAUUCAAAAGCAUCUGGAUACCUUCUUACUUUCCUACAGAAACACACCUCAUGCUACGACCCAGGCAGCCCGGGCCUUUCUAAUGAUGGGACGACAGCUACGCACUUGCUUUGAUCUGCUGAACCCUUCUGAACCCCGACAAAUUGUGCAACAUCAGCAGCAAUGGUCAUCAGACAGGCACCCAGAGCAAAAGACCAAACCUUUA
rnacentral:lncRNA from 1 species